rnacentral:rRNA from 1 species
CACGUAGUUAGCCGUGGCUUAUUCAUUCGGUACCGUCACUUUCUUCGUCCCGAAUAAAAGAAGUUUACAACCCGAAAGCCUUCUUCCUUCACGCGGCGUUGCUGGGUCAGGCUUGCGCCCAUUGCCCAAUACUUCCCACUGCUGCCUCCCGUAGGAGUCUGGGCCGUGUCUCAGUCCCAAUGUGGCCGGCCAACCUCUCAGUCCGGCUACUGAUCGUCGCCUUGGUGGGCCAUUACCCCGCAACUAGCUAAUCAGACGCGAGCUCAUCUCAGAGCGAUAAUCUUUGGCAUCCAAACCAUGCGACUCAGAUGCAUCAUGCGGUAUUAGCGGCUGUUUCCAGCCCGUUAUUCCCCCACUCCAAGGCAGAUUGCUCACGCGUUACUCCACCCGUCCGCCCUACUUUCCCUCAGCCUUCCCCUCAGACGAAUCCCUUGUUCCCACUGACUUCUCGUUCGUACUUGCAUGUGUUAAGCACGCCGCCAGCCGUUCACUCCUGA